rnacentral:rRNA from 5 species
GGGUUGUGAGGUUAAGCGACUAAGCGUACACGGUGGAUGCCCUGGCAGUCAGAGGCGAUGAAGGACGUGCUAAUCUGCGAUAAGCGCCGGUAAGGUGAUAUGAACCGUUAUAACCGGCGAUUUCCGAAUGGGGAAACCCAGUGUGAUUCGUCACACUAUCAUUAACUGAAUCCAUAGGUUAAUGAGGCGAACCGGGGGAACUGAAACAUCUAAGUACCCCGAGGAAAAGAAAUCAACCGAGAUUCCCCCAGUAGCGGCGAGCGAACGGGGAGGAGCCCAGAGCCUGAAUCAGCAUGUGUGUUAGUGGAAGCGUCUGGAAAGGUGCGCGAUACAGGGUGACAGCCCCGUACACAAAAGCGCAUGUGCUGUGAGCUCGAUGAGUAGGGCGGGACACGUGGUAUCCUGUCUGAAUAUGGGGGGACCAUCCUCCAAGGCUAAAUACUCCUGACUGACCGAUAGUGAACCAGUACCGUGAGGGAAAGGCGAAAAGAACCCCGGCGAGGGGAGUGAAAAAGAACCUGAAACCGUGUACGUACAAGCAGUGGGAGCACAGGUUUACCUGUGUGACUGCGUACCUUUUGUAUAAUGGGUCAGCGACUUAUAUUCUGUAGCAAGGUUAACCGUAUAGGGGAGCCG